rnacentral:lncRNA from 10 species
ACACCAGGGUGCAGAUACAAGCAGAAAUCUGAAGAUGGAAUCCAUAGGGUUUGAUGUCCUCCUAGAGUGCUAAGGGAUCAAUUUCAACUUUGAAUAAUGGAAAUAAAGGCCUUGCAAUUCACAGAUAUAGGAAAUCACAAAAAGCAGUUUGUUUUUACUGAUUUAUUCUUUUUUAAAAAUUUUUGUCAGAGGGCAUGAAUUGUUUUGAGAGUCUUUAUAUUUGAGUUACCAAUACUGAUAUAUUGAGGAAGUAAGUAUUCCACAUUGGAGAUUCUGGAACAUGGCACGAGAGUUGACGAUGCAGCUAUAUGAAUUUAAACUUGAUGCUGAAAGUUGCCUCCUUAGUGGAAGAAGGGCAAUCUAGACUGAGGGGAUAGCCUGCAAGACGAGGGUGCUGAAUGCCAUGUAGAAUUUUGAAGAUCGCAUGGAAUAGUGGAAAUAGAAGAAACUCUCAAGUUUGAGUUGUAGCUUUGCUGCUUUACAAACUAUAUGGUCUUGAAGUAGCAUUUGGUUUGUUUAUUCAUUUAUUUAUCUUUAAUAUCUGCCCAGGGCCCUCCUGAGUGGUCUGCAAACAGUAAGCACUAAAUGCAGGCUUUAUUGGCUCACUAGGAUAUAAUCAUUUCUACAUUAUGGAUUUUUUUGAAGUAUCAAAAGUUGUUUGUGUAUUCAUUCAUUUAUUCAUUCAUAUAUUCUUACUGAGUCUUACUCUGUGACAGGCACCCUUAUUAUAUUGCCUGACUUCUCCUCCAUCUCAUUUCUUGGCUAGUAUUUUCAUUGGUUGAACGUGG